rnacentral:rRNA from 1 species
UACGUAGGGUGCAAGCGUUAUCCGGAAUUAUUGGGCGUAAAGAGCUCGUAGGCGGUUUGUCACGUCUGCUGUGAAAACUGGAGGCUCAACCUCCAGCCUGCAGUGGGUACGGGCAGGCUGGAGGCAGGCAGGGGAGAACGGAAUUCCCGGUGUAGCGGUGAAAUGCGCAGAUAUCGGGAGGAACACCGGUGGCGAAGGCGGUGUCCUGGGCCGAUCCUGACGCUGAGGAGCGAAAGCUGGGGGAGCAAACAGG